AAAAUAAAAAAAGGUUUCCAUCUUCUUCCAGCUCAGGAUCAUAUUGAAUGAUGUUACGAUACAGCUGUUACCUGUAAAGAACACUACAGAAAAAUUAAUGCUCAAUACAAGCUGUUUGAAUAAUCACUAAAAA